rnacentral:rRNA from 1 species
GCGGAGGGAUCAUUACACAACAAAAUAUGAAGGCCUGGCUUUCGCGGCCGGCUGAAGUAUUUUUUUCACCCAUGUCUUUUGCGCACUUGUUGUUUCCUGGGCGGGUUCGCCCGCCACCAGGACCAAACCAUAAACCUUUUUUUCUUAUGCAGUUUCCAUCAGCGUCAGUAAAAACAAUGUAAUUAUUACAACUUUCAACAACGGAUCUCUUGGUUCUGGCAUCGAUGAAGAACGCAGCGAAAUGCGAUACGUAGUGUGAAUUGCAGAAUUCAGUGAAUCAUCGAAUCUUUGAACGCACAUUGCGCCCUUUGGUAUUCCAAAGGGCAUGCCUGUUCGAGCGUCAUUUGUACCUUCAAGCUUUGCUUGGUGUUGGGCGUUUUUUUGUCUCCCUCUUUCUGGGAGACUCGCCUUAAAACGAUUGGCAGCCGGCCUACUGGUUUCGGAGCGCAGCACAUUUUUUGCGCUUUGUAUCAGGAGAAAAGGACGGUACUCCAUCAAGACUCUACAUUUUUCACUUUUGACCUCGGAUCAGGUAGGGAUACCCGCUGAACUUAAGCAU